UACGUAGGGUGCAAGCGUUGUCCGGAAUUAUUGGGCGUAAAGAGCUCGUAGGCGGUCUGUCGCGUCUGCUGUGAAAACUCGGGGCUUAACCCCGGGCCUGCAGUGGGUACGGGCAGACUAGAGUGCGGUAGGGGAGACUGGAAUUCCUGGUGUAGCGGUGAAAUGCGCAGAUAUCAGGAGGAACACCAACAGCGAAGGCAGCACUCUGGGCCGGUACUGACGCUGAGGAGCGAAAGCAUGGGGAGCGAACAGG
rnacentral:rRNA from 1 species